UACGUAGGAGGCAAGCGUUGUCCGGAAUUACUGGGUGUAAAGCGCGUGUAGGCGGCAGGCCAAGUCUGUGGUGAAAUCGCUCGGCUCAACUGGGCGGGGUCCAUGGAAACUGGUCAGCUGGAGGACGGUAGAGGUGAGUGGAAUUCCCGGUGUAGUGGUGAAAUGCGUAGAGAUCGGGAGGAACACACGUGGCGAAGGCGGCUCACUGGGCCGGUACUGACGCUGAGGCACGAAGGCGUGGGGAGCGAACGGG
rnacentral:rRNA from 1 species